rnacentral:tRNA from 1 species
GCCUGGGUGGCUCAGUUGGUGAAGCGUCUGACUUUUGCUCAGGUCAUGAUCUCAUGGUACGUGAGUUCAAGCCUUGCAUCGGGCU